ACUCUACUGAACAGAGUAGGAUCCAUCAGGAGAGACCAGACUCCCCUGUACCCAGCUGUGUGUCCAUCAAGAGUGACCAGUCUAUGAAUAUACCUAUUUUUUUCAAAGAUGGACACCACUCUACUAAACAGAGCAGGAUCCAUCAGGAGA